rnacentral:rRNA from 1 species
GAUGAACGCUGGCGGCGUGCUUAACACAUGCAAGUCGAACGGUGAAGGCGGAGCUUGCUCUGCUGGAUCAGUGGCGAACGGGUGAGUAACACGUGAGCAAUCUGCCCCUGACUCUGGGAUAAGCGCUGGAAACGGCGUCUAAUACUGGAUACGAGCUGCGAAGGCAUCUUCAGCAGCUGGAUAGAACUUCGGUCAGGGAUGAGCUCGCGGCCUAUCAGCUUGUUGGUGAGGUAACGGCUCACCAAGGCGUCGACGGGUAGCCGGCCUGAGAGGGUGACCGGCCACACUGGGACUGAGACACGGCCCAGACUCCUACGGGAGGCAGCAGUGGGGAAUAUUGCACAAUGGGCGAAAGCCUGAUGCAGCAACGCCGCGUGAGGGACGACGGCCUUCGGGUUGUAAACCUCUUUUAGCAGGGAAGAAGCGAAAGUGACGGUACCUGCAGAAAAAGCGCCGGCUAACUACGUG